AGCGACGUCAAAGCGUUCAUUAAAGUCGAGUUGGCUUAGGGAUACGUUCGUUGGGUAGGGGAGCGUUCUGUAAGCCUGUGAAGGUGGCCUGUGAGGGUUGCUGGAGGUAUCAGAAGUGCGAAUGCUGACAUAAGUAACGAUAAAGCGGGUGAAAAGCCCGCUCGCCGGAAGACCAAGGGUUCCUGUCCAACGUUAAUCGGGGCAGGGUGAGUCGACCCCUAAGGCGAGGCCGAAAGGCGUAGUCGAUGGGAAACGGGUUAAUAUUCCCGUACUUGGUGUUACUGCGAAGGGGGGACGGAGAAGGCUAUGUUGGCCGGGCGACGGUUGUCCCGGUUUAAGCGUGUAGGUGUGUGUUCCAGGUAAAUCCGGUUCACUUUAACACUGAGGCGUGACGACGAGGCACUACGGUGCUGAAGCAACAAAUGCCCUGCUUCCAGGAAAAGCCUCUAAGCAUCAGGUAACAUCAAAUCGUACCCCAAACCGACACAGGUGGUCAGGUAGAGAAUACCAAGGCGCUUGAGAGAACUCGGGUGAAGGAACUAGGCAAAAUGGUGCCGUAACUUCGGGAGAAGGCACGCUGACACGUAGGUGAAGUGAUUUACUCAUGGAGCUGAAGUCAGUCGAAGAUACCAGCUGGCUGCAACUGUUUAUUAAAAACACAGCACUGUGCAAACACGAAAGUGGACGUAUACGGUGUGACGCCUGCCCGGUGCCGGAAGGUUAAUUGAUGGGGUCAGCGCAAGCGAAGCUCCUGAUCGAAGCCCCGGUAAACGGCGGCCGUAACUAUAACGGUCCUAAGGUAGCGAAAUUCCUUGUCGGGUAAGUUCCGACCUGCACGAAUGGCGUAAUGAUGGCCAGGCUGUCUCCACCCGAGACUCAGUGAAAUUGAACUCGCUGUGAAGAUGCAGUGUACCCGCGGCAAGACGGAAAGACCCCGUGAACCUUUACUAUAGCUUGACACUGAACAUUGAGCCUUGAUGUGUAGGAUAGGUGGGAGGCUUUGAAGUGUGGACGCCAGUCUGCAUGGAGCCGACCUUGAAAUACCACCCUUUAAUGUUUGAUGUUCUAACGUGGACCCGUUA
rnacentral:rRNA from 1 species